UAGGGAAUUUUUCACAAUGAGCGAAAGCUUGAUGGAGCAAUGCCGCGUGAACGAUGAAGGUCUUUAAGAUUGUAAAGUUCUUUUAUUUGGGAAGAAUGACUUUAGCAGGUAAUGGCUAGAGUUUGACUGUACCAUUUUGAAUAAGUGACGACUAACUAUGUGCCAGCAGUCGCGGUAAUACAUAGGUCGCAAGCGUUAUCCGGAUUUAUUGGGCGUAAAGCAAGCGCAGGCGGAUUAAAAAGUCUGGUGUUAAAGGCAGCUGCUUAACAGUUGUAUGCAUUGGAAACUAUUAAUCUAGAGUGUGGUAGGGAGUUUUGGAAUUUCAUGUGGAGCGGUGAAAUGCGUAGAUAUAUGAAGGAACACCAGUGGCGAAGGCGAAAACUUAGGCCAUUACUGACGCUUAGGCUUGAAAGUGUGGGGAGCAAAUAGGAUUAGAUACCCUAGUAGUCCACACCGUAAACGAUAGAUACUAGCUGUCGGGGCGAUCCCCUCGGUAGUGAAGUUAACACAUUAAGUAUCUCGCCUGGGUAGUACAUUCGCAAGAAUG
rnacentral:rRNA from 1 species